rnacentral:rRNA from 1 species
CCUACGGGAGGCUGCAGUGAGGAAUAUUGGUCAAUGGACGCAAGUCUGAACCAGCCAUGCCGCGUGCAGGAUGACGGCUCUAUGAGUUGUAAACUGCUUUUGUACGAGGGUAAACCCCGAUACGUGUAUCGGGUUGAAAGUAUCGUACGAAUAAGGAUCGGCUAACUCCGUGCCAGCAGCCGCGGUAAUACGGAGGAUGCGAGCGUUAUCCGGAUUUAUUGGGUUUAAAGGGUGCGUAGGCGGAAGGUUAAGUCAGCGGUCAAAUGUCGGUGCUCAACACCGGCCUGCCGUUGAAACUGGUCGUCUUGAGUGAGCGAGAAGUAUGCGGAAUGCGUGGUGUAGCGGUGAAAUGCAUAGAUAGCACGCAGAACUCCGAUUGCGAAGGCAGCAGACCGGCGCUCAACUGACGCGGAGGCACGAAAGCGUGGGGAUCGAACAGGAUUAGAUACCCCGGUAGUC